CCUUCAAUGUAACUUAUUAAAUUCAUUGUAUUUGCUAAAUGUUUUAGACCAAUCCAGUCUGAGAGCACCAAUCAGGACUCUGCCACACAUCACAUGGUCAACCUGAAUGAAACUCAAGAUCACAUCUACAAUUCUCUUCUCCAUGGUGAUGUUUGUGUCUAUGAAUCAAUCAGAGGCUCUGAACACCCUGAAAACGGUAAAGUAUAAACCUUAACAUGGAGCAGUCUGAAAUGCAACUAUUGUAUAAUUUAAGAGAAAAUCAUUUACAAAACAAAACCAUUUAACACCAAAUAUCCUUUUCACAGAUUCACACUCUGUCAGGUUGGUACAAACCUCUCCUCUCUUUUAUUAUGAACAUAACAGCAGUACCUUCAAUUGUCUAUAUAUCUGUCUAUAUGUCUAUAUCUAUAUCGUGUCUUGUAGAGACAAUUCACAGCCUUGUGACUGAUGGAAAAAGGAGUCGUUUAUUCUGCACAGAAGAAAGAGACUUAAACACACCCAAGUGAACAUUAUAUACAAAGAUAGGCAGAGCUACAGAAGACAACACACAUACCAGUGUCUCCUGUUAUUUUCUACAACCGCAGCUUGCUCAUCACCUCAUUCUCUCAGAUCAUACUCUGCUCCCAAACUGUCCUUCAUCAUUCUCACACCACAUAUCCUGCUCUUUAGCUGAAUCUCUGCACACACACUCAGCCUCUAACUCUUUCACAGAAAAUGACCUCUUAAAUACCAUAUAAUGUAUCUUAUUAAAUUCAUUGUUUCUGCUAAAUGUUUUAGACCAAUCCAGUCUGAGAGCACCAAUCAGGACUCUGCCACACAUCACAUGGUCAACCUGAAUGAAACUCAAGAUCACAUCUACAAUUCUCUUCUCCAUGGUGAUACUUGUCUCUAUGAAUCAAUCAAAGGCUCUGAAGACCCA